UUACGGCCAUAUCGGAUUGAAAGACCGGUUCCUGUACGACCGCCGAAGUUAAGCAACGUCAAACUUGGUCAGUACCUACAUUGGAGAUCGCUUGGAAAUACCAGGUGCUGUAC